GUUUUUUACCCAUAAUGGUUGUGAAUUUACCUUCUCCUCUUUGCAGUGAUAAAGGAGGUAAAUUCACAACCACUGUGGGCAGAAAC
ensembl:miRNA